AGAGUUUGAUCCUGGCUCAGAAUGAACGUUGGCGGCAGGCUUAACACAUGCAAGUCGAACGAAAAGGUAACUUCGGUUGCUGGAUUCGUGGCGGACGGGUGAGUAUAACAUAGAAAUCUACCGAGCAGUGGGGGAUAACAGUUGGAAACGACUGAUAAUACCGCAUACGCCAUAUUGGGAAAACUAAGGUGCUGUUCGAUGAGUCUAUGCCGGAUUAGCUAGUUGGUAGGGUAAAAGCCUACCAAGGCAAUGAUCUGUAGCUGGUUUGAGAGGAUGAUCAGCCACACUGGGACUGAGACACGGCCCAGACUCCUACGGGAGGCAGCAGUGAGGAAUAUUGCACAAUGGGCGAAAGCCUGAUGCAGCCAUGCCGCGUGAAUGAAGAAGGUUUUCGGACUGUAAAGUUCUUUCAGUGGUGAGAAUAGUGAUGUUAACCACAGAAGAAGUCCCGGCUAACUCCGUGCCAGCAGCCGCGGUAAUACGGAGGGGGCGAACGUUAUUCGGAUUUACUGGGCGUAAAGCGAUCGUAGGCGGAAUGCUAAGUUAGAUGUGAAAGCCCUGGGCUCAACCCGGGAACUGCAUUUAAAACUGGCAAUCUAGAGUGUUGGAGAGGAUGACGGAAUUCCAAGUGUAGAGGUGAAAUUCGUAGAUAUUUGGAGGAACAUCAGUGGCGAAGGCGGUUGUCUGGCCAAACACUGACGCUGAGGGUCGAAAGCGUGGGGAGCAAACAGGAUUAGAUACCCUGGUAGUCCACGCCGUAAACGAUGGAUACUAACUGUUGGGCCUUCUGGGCUUAGUGGUGAAGCUAACGCGAUAAGUAUCCCGCCUGGGGAGUACGGCCGCAAGGUUAAAACUCAAAGGAAUUGACGGGGACCCGCACAAGCGGUGGAGCAUGUUGUUUAAUUCGAUGCAACGCGAAGAACCUUACCUAGACUUGAUCCCUAUCGUAGAUUAUGUAAUGUAAUCGUCAGUUCGGCUGGAUAGGUGACAGAUGCUGCACGGCUGUCGUCAGCUCGUGUCGUGAGAUGUUCGGUUAAGUCCGGCAACGAGCGCAACCCUCACUUCUAGUUGCCAGCAUUCAGUUGGGCACUCUAGAGGAACUGCCAGGGACAACCUGGAGGAAGGUGGGGACGACGUCAAGUCAUCAUGGCUCUUACGUCUAGGGCUACAAACGUGCUACAAUGGUACCUACAAAAGGAAGCAAUAUCGCGAGAUGGAGCAAAUCCCAAAAAGGUAUCUCAGUUCGGAUCGUAGUCUGCAACUCGACUACGUGAAGUUGGAAUCGCUAGUAAUCGUGGAUCAGAAUGCCACGGUGAAUACGUUCCCGGGUCUUGUACACACCGCCCGUCACGCCACGGGAGUUGAUUCUACCCGAAGCCGGUAGCCUAACCUGUUUACAGGAGGGAGCCGACCACGGUAGGGUUAGCGACUGGGGUGAAGUCGUAACAAGGUAGCCGUAGGGGAACCUGCGGCUG
rnacentral:rRNA from 1 species